UACGUAGGGUCCGAGCGUUAAUCGGAAUUACUGGGCGUAAAGCGUGCGCAGGCGGUUUUGUAAGCCAGAUGUGAAAUCCCCCGGGCUUAACUUGGGAACUGCAUUUUGGGACUGCAAGGGCUGGAGUACGGCAGGAGGGAGGUGGAAAUUCCACGUGUAGCAGUGAAAUGCGUAGAGAUGUGGAGGAACACCGAUGGCGAAGGCAGCCUCCUGGGCUAGUACUGACGCUCAUGCACGAAAGCGUGGGGAGCAAACAGG
rnacentral:rRNA from 1 species